UACGUAGGGUCCGAGCGUUGUCCGGAAUUAUUGGGCGUAAAGGGCUCGUAGGCGGUUUGUCGCGUCGGGAGUGAAAACACGGGGCUUAACCCCGUGCCUGCUUCCGAUACGGGCAGACUAGAGGUAUGCAGGGGAGAACGGAAUUCCUGGUGUAGCGGUGAAAUGCGCAGAUAUCAGGAGGAACACCGGUGGCGAAGGCGGGUUCUCUGGGCAUUACCUGACGCUGAGGAGCGAAAGCGUGGGUAGCGAACAGG
rnacentral:rRNA from 1 species